rnacentral:rRNA from 1 species
GCGGCGGGCCUAUACAUGCAAGUCGAACGAUGCAGCAAUGCAUAGUGGCAGACGGGUGCGUAACGCGUAUGCAACCUACCCCGGAUCGGGGAACAACUUCGCGAAAGUGGAGCUAAUACCGCGUAACAUUGCGGGGCGGCAUCGUCCUGCAAUUAAACUUACGGGGAUCCGGGAUGGGCAUGCGUCUGAUUAGCUAGUUGGUGGGGUAACGGCUCACCAAGGCGACGAUCAGUAGGGGAACUGAGAGGUUGAUCCCCCACACUGGCACUGAGAUACGGGCCAGACUCCUACGGGAGGCAGCAGUAGGGAAUAUUGGGCAAUGGUCGGAAGACUGACCCAGCCACGCCGCGUGCAGGAGGAAGGCCCUCUGGGUUGUAAACUGCUUUAGCAGGGGAAGAAAAUACUCAUGCGUGAGGAAUUGCCGGUACCCUGAGAAUAAGCACCGGCUAACUACGUGCCAGCAGCCGCGGUAAUACGUAGGGUGCAAGCGUUGUCCGGAUUUAUUGGGUUUAAAGGGUGCGUAGGCGGCCUGUUNAAGUCAGUGUUUAAAUUUUGCAGCUUAACUGUAGGUAUGGCAUUGAUACUGAUGGGCUUGAAUAUUUUAGAGGUAGCUGGGAAUUUAUGGUGUAGCGGUGAAAUGCAUAGAUACCAUAAGGAACACCGAUAGCGGAGGCAUGUUACCAUGAGAUGAUUGACGCUGAGGCACGAAAGUGUGGGGAUCAAACAGGAUUAGAUACCCUGGUAGUCCACACUGUAAACGAUGAUUACUAGAUGCCGGGCANUUGUGUUCGGUGUUCAAGCGAAAGCGA